ACGUCAUCGCUAUAAUGUAAAUAUUAGCUUUAGCUUCCUGCUAGCUUGCGUUGUCUCAAGCAAACAUGUUGUUAUCUGUGUUCUGCUAUAAGUUUCCAAACACCCUCUUAGCGAUGAAAAACAUCCGCAGGUUGAGAAUCCGGGACACCAUAACAGUUUUUUCCAGACUUGCAGUUGGGGCGGCACAUUCGCGACGUGCACAUCCGAAUUAUAUAUGCUUAAAUGCAACUUGAAUGAACCUCAGCGGAGCGCCGUCGACUGACGCCACGGGUCGGGUGUUUGAACAGAAACUGUCAUGUGAGACAGAGGUAGUGAUAAACGCGAUGUGCAAACAUCUAUUUGUGGUGGCCAAUUUUAAUUUUGUGGCAGACUGAGAAAUAAAUGAAUGUAUGGGAAUGUACAACAACGCUCUCACGUGUAUGAUGUCACAGCAGUAGGCAGCGUAAAUAUAACGACACGCCUAUAAUCCCUCCCACUCCGAAGUGAUACUAAACUCGAUGGAAAAGCUAACCAAGCCAAAGUGAGGUGAGCUGACCCGACCCAAACUAAACUAAACCGUGGGGUACUAUGCAAUGGAAAAGCACCAUAAUGCAUCUACAGGGUUUCCUUUCUCAUUAUCAGCCUCGCCACGUUUUCUGGCUGCCAUUUUGGACUUGGAGCAGGGAGAAACAGUUUCAGGAUUAUGAAAAUACUUGCCUGAUGGCUUUACUACUGUGAGUUGUCAUUACUUUAACUGAUGCCCGACUUCAGCUUUUUGAAGUGCCACAGUCUGUCGAGUCCCUUAUUAGUAUUCUGAAGGAGAAACUGCAGUUACAAGGACAGUUCAUCUUGCAAUUUCAGGACCCUGAUUUUGGGAAUGCCCUUUGCAGCCUGACUGAAAUCUCGGAACUGCCCAGUGAAAAAGCAGUCUUUCAUAUUCCCGGAACAUCCAUGCAACCACACGGAUGCUUCACUUGAAGAACAAAGACUUUUAUUGAUUGAUGAAACAAAAAAGGCAAGAAGCAACAUGGUGGUCAUAUGUGAAAAAAAUGGGAUUAACUUUUUCCCUGAGGAGAAAAGAGGUGGUAGAAGAUCAACCAAUGGUUGUAGACUUGCAGCAGAGGUGGCCUGCACUUUUUCUCUAGGAACAGAUUGCUGAGGAAUUCUUCAGAAUCACGGAUAAAGACCUUCUUGAUGUCUUCAGGGCAGCAACGGACCGAUUUACACCAAAGCUCUUGAAAGUAUACAGAGCUUGAAAAGCUGCAUUUGGAGAGGAUAUGGAACAGCUCCUAGAAAGACUUGAUGAAAGGGAAAGUUUAGUUUCAUAACUUAACUGUUGUGAAGGUUUAUUCACAUUAGGUUGUCUGAUAUGAACAGUUUUCUUACUUUGGCUAAUUUAUUGUUACCUUUGUAUGUUUUUAAGAUGACCGAUAUUGUUAAUCACAGAAGGACUACUGCUUUGAAAGGCCUGCCUUUGUUUCUUUGAGAGGACCCAAACAAGCUGUUCAAAACAUGCAAAGACACCGAAGAUGGGGCAAAAGGAGUGUCUAUUGCCAUUCUGUGUGUUUUGGAAGAUGAGACCCAGGGACCAUCACCAGAGGUUGUAAACAUUGCUGUUGUGUUGGAGCAGGUCGUCGUUUUGAAAGAUCUCCCAGAUAUUUCUACUGCUCUUGCAUACCUUUUUGGCCUUCUGUAUGCAUUAACCAUGUCCUAUCCUCAAGCUCUUAAGUACACUUUUGACACCAUUCAGAAUGUUUUCAUGGAGCUGGGAUCUGGAUGCACCAAACGUGUACUUUCUCUGAAGAACAAACUGUUGUAAAGAAAAUCAGAACCGUGUUUUUGGAUUCUUUUUGAUGUUCAUUUGUUUUAAGACCUAAAGUUCGCUUGGAUACAAGGUCUAGGGAUUCUUAGUUGGCAUCUCUAUUUCUUGUUACAGAUGUCAAACUGUUCCAAAUGCACCAAACGUGUGCUUUCUCUGAAGAACAAACUGUUGUAAAGAAAAUCAGAACAGUGUUUUGGGAUCCUUUUUGGGUUUCAUUUGUUAAUAGACCUAAAGUGCAGCUUGGAUACAACGUGAUUCUUUUAGGUGGCAUCUAUUUAGCUUGUCAUAAGAUGUCAGACUGUUCUUAAACAGUAACUAAACCCUAAACCAACUUUUUUAGUUAAUGAUCUGUAAGAAUGAUGCUUUAUUAGUGCUGCUCAUUGAUUUUAGUACGUUUUUUGACAUUUGGAUAUAGUGUUUCAAUACUGCAAUAUAUAGUGUAUAAACGUCUGAGUGCUGCCCUCUUCAGGUUGAACGGUGGCUACUGCAGUUGAAUUUUCCUAUUGGAUGUUGGGUCCAAAAAAUUACUCGUGACGUAAACAGAUUCAAGCUCACCACGCCCUUGUUACGAUCUCACCACACACUUGGUACGAGCUUAAGUUCGUCCCCUCUAUCUCCGUUGGGAUCUUCCCACUUUUCUUGCAUUUUUCAAAUAUUGCCAGUGGGUGGAGUCACACUCUGACCAGGGGUUUAGUUACCCUUUAAAGUGUAUAUAAUUGUAAUUUUGUAUUACAUCAUUAGGGCUGCAACAACGAAUCGAUUAAAUCGAUAAAAAUCGAUUACUAAAAGUGUUGGCAACGAAUUUCAUUAUCGAUUUGUUGUGUCGCGUGACGCAGAGACGUUUAAUAAAAAAAAAAAAGGAAAAACUUCAGUUAAGCGCGAAGCGGAGUGAACACACUCGCACUGCGUUCCAAACCGCCUAAUUCCUUACUAUAUAGUAGGCAAAGAGUACGAGAAGUAGUGAUUUUCGCCUACUAUAUAGUAUGGAAGUAUGCGGUUUGGGACGGAGCGUUGGUCUCUCUCGCGCACUGUUGCUUGCAGAGUUCGGCGCCUCAUAGACAGGGUUGAGAAAUUACAGGGCGGCGGGGAAAAUAUAAAAAAAAAACAGCAAAGGUAGAGGAAAACCACAUGUCAGUGUUUUACUCCUCCCAAACGUAAGCGCGUCACCUGGAAGUUAUAGCCGGCAAAGAGGUAAUCAAACAAAGACGACACGCUUAUGCUUUAUGGAGCGACGACAGCGAGUAAAAAAAGUUUCUAGAACGAAUAAAAAACUCCAAUGAUAUUAAAAAAAGAAAUAAAACGUUGAGAGGGAGUUGUAUGGACGCUUUUCCCCGUCAUAGACCUGUAUGUUAAAUCAUCGCGCGUCACUCUCCUGCUGUUCUGUACUGCGCGCUCCAGCUCAUGACGAGCAAGGAGACGCGCGUGCCCGGACCAACAUACAGUACAUCAUACAGUAAGUGCCGCCUGUUGUUGCAUAAACAUCCUCUUACAUUUUUUAAGGCGAAGUAAUGAAUGGUGUAUUUGCAUUUUGCGCGGGAGUAGAAGACGCAUUUUCCGUUUUCACAAGACGCAUUUAUGUGGCCAAAUGUAAUGGAACAGUUUUAACAAAUGAGAUAGCUAUCCGAUCAGAGAAAACACAUAAAGUCAAAUAUAAGGUACAAAGCUGUCACUGGGGCAGUACCCUUUAUAAAAGGUCCUAAUAUUUACCAUUUAGGUACAAAUAUUUAUCUGUGAACUGCCAAUAUGUACUUUUGAAGUACUAAUAUGCACUUUUUGGGUACAAAGGUGUUCCUUUUUGAAAGGGUACUGUCCAGUGACAACUUUUGUACUUUUAUUUCUGAGAGUGUACUCGUGUACUAUCUUUUUGAUCCCACCAAGAGAGGCUUCUUGAUGGGAAAUGCAUCAUAAAAAGUCUAUUUAUUUGGCAGAUGUAAAGCAUACAUGUGUAUUUUUUUGUGUUAGUCCAUUUUUAUUUUAUUUUAUUAUUAUUGUAACAGCUCAGGUGUGUUCAAUGAGCAACAAGUUUGUGCACUUUCUAAAGAUUUUAGUUCUGUUUUGAAUAAGGGGUUGGAAAUGAAUACUUUUCUUGUUUUUUGUUUUUUAUCCGAUUCAUCGAUUAAUCGAACAAAUAAUCGACAGAUUAAUCGAUUAUUAAAAUAAUCGUUAGUUGCAGCCCUAUACAUCAUACCAUACCAGGUGAGUGGUUUCAGUAAGCAUGUCUGCUCUUAUAACUGGUUGUUUAAAAUUGAAAUUGUUAAAGGAUUAGUUUAUCCAAAAAUGAAAAUUGUCACAUUUUGUCACUUAUUUUUUUUACAAAUGUCUUUAUUUCGAGGAAAAGGAAGAAAGAUGCUUUGAGGAAUGUUUGUAACCAAACCGUUCAUGAGCCUUAUUCAUUUUCAUAGUAGGAAAAAAUAAUACUUUAGAAAUGAAUGUGGCUCAUGAUCUGUUUGGUUACAAACAUUCCUCAAAAUAUCUUAUGUUCAUCAAAUCAAAUACAUUUAUACAGGUUUGUAACAACAUGGGAGUAAGAAAAUGACACAAUUUUCAUUUUUGGGUGAACUAUCCUUUUAAAUAAAACUGUACAAGUGUUUUAAAUGUUGGUUUAAAUGGGGUAAUUUGAAAAGGUUUAGAUUACAGAACAUGUCAAGACAUUAACACUUUAUUGUUGGAUAAAAACAAAAAUCCUAAAUUGAUACAAGUUUUAUGCUGUUACAGUUAAGUGAUUGUCUGUAUGCUUCGUGUAUGCAAAAUUUAAGUUCCUACUGAAGAUGGAAUCUAGACUUUUUAAAGUGCAGC